rnacentral:sRNA from 1 species
UGUAUCCAUCGGAUCGCCAUCAAUGAUGGUGAUACAUGGCUGUGUACAUAAUGUAUAUACAACUCGUCUAAACAUCAACCCAACAAUGUUAAAUCUGUAAAUUUACAGGAUCCUUUACUAUAGAUAAUUUAGCUGAUAAAUUUACAGAUCUAACAUUGUUUGGUUGAUGUUUAGACGAGUUGUAUAUACAUUAUGUACACAGCCAUGUAUCUCCAUCAUUGAUGGCGAUCCGAUGGAUACA